rnacentral:rRNA from 1 species
AAGGUUGACCUCGGAUCAGGUAGGGAUACCCGCUGAACUUAA